rnacentral:miRNA from 1 species
UUUGGUAUUGGUCCCUGCACUU